UACAGAGGCCUCGAGCGUUGUUCGGAAUUACUGGGCGUAAAGGGAAUGUAGGUGGUGACGUAAGUCAGAUGUGAAAGCCCUGGGCUUAACCUGGGAAGUGCAUUUGAUACUGCGUUGCUUGAGUGCGAGAGAGGAAAGCGGAAUUCCAGGUGUAGGAGUGAAAUCCGUAGAUAUCUGGAGGAAUACCGAUGGUGAAGACAGCUUUCUGGCUCGUAACUGACACUGAGAUUCGAAAGCAUGGGUAGCAAACAGG
rnacentral:rRNA from 1 species